rnacentral:lncRNA from 1 species
GAACCUAGGGUACAAAUUCAUUUUUCUUGUUGCCAUAUUUCCUUGCUCGUUAUAGUUUCUUUGCACCCUAGAGCUCUUGUCAGCGACCCAUUUUGUGAAUGGAGACAUUUCUGCUUUGAAGUCAUAAUUUAUCCUGCAAGAGCUGCUAAAAGAUGCACUUUUAAACUCAGAUCUGAGCGAAGGCUGGGAAUUGUUGUUGCAAGUAGAAAAUGAGUUACAGAUGUACAAAGAC